AGGGAGGGAUUGGCGCGGCGAUUCGCCGGCGCCUCCUCUUCUCGCGCGCUUUGCCGGCGGCCCCCGCUCUCCGCCGCGCCAACCCGUCGAGCGCCGCCGCUGAGGAGCGCCGCCCGGCAACCAGCGUCGUCCGCCGCGCCAACCCGUCGAGCGCCGCCGCGGGAACCGAGUGACGAGCGCCGGCCGCCGCGGGAACCAAGGGACGAGCGCCCUGACGACCCAGGGACGAGCGCCGGCCGCCGCGGUAGCCAAGGGACGAGCGCCGGCCGCCGCGGUAGCGCGCCUGACGGACGAGCGCCCGAUGCUUCACAGAAUUGAGUGUUGUGCGAUGGGAUCGAUUGGCAACAGGAUACCCGAAGUUGGUAUGCGGUUCAGAAAUUCGGAUGAGGCUUGGGAGUUCUGGAUGCAAUAUGGUGGUCACAUAGGCUUUGAUGUGAGGAAAAGAAAUAACCAUCAAAAGCAGAACUGAUGGAACAAUCACUUCAUGUAGGUUUGUUUGUUCCGGCAACAAAAUUAAGGAGAAAGACAACUUGGCUUGAUAAGUUACUCAAGGGGAAGCGUAAACCAUUGAAAGCUACCGCACCGACCAAAAAGGGAGAAAAUG